GCUAAAAUUGAACUAUGAUGUAUUAUACUACAUUAAUAGAUUACAUUUUCCUAUAUAUUACUUGCAGUGUUCUUGAAAAUGUUAAGUAUUUCUAUCGCAUAGGCUGCGUUUUAAGGGAUAGUGCUACAGGGCUUUUGGGUGGCAGACUGCAGACUUCGCAUUUGAUCCUCUAGAGAGACAGAGAGAGGGAGAGAAAAGAAAGAAAUAUGGCUGUGACCUUUGCUGAAUAUCAAAGGCGUUGUCUCGAAAUGUCACCGGGGAUUUCUCCGCCUAGAAGCAGUGCGGUAUUUGAAGCUGGGGGUUUUGACAGCCGACAGCAGAUUGGCUGGUGGGUGGAAAGUUAUAAAGUCGCAUAUCAUUAGAGGGUUUAUUAUGGUUCACGGUGGACUGACUGCGAACAACAUACAUGCACGACUUCUGUGAACGACGCUUGGCCAUUUGGAUAGCAAUGUACAGUUGCUCUGUCAUAAAUCUCAGCUUUAGUCUAGCCAGAUGGAGUCGUUAUAAAUCAUUUGAGUGCAAAGAAAUCACAGGAAAAUCACAUGGUUUCAUGUAACAACACUGGCCACCCAUGCAGCAAGUAAAGUAUUUGUGUCAUUAAAAUUAAAAUGCAUCCAACGUGUUGCACCUGCUUCAUUAGAAUACUCGUUGUGUUUGCCUUGAAUACUGCGUUCUGUAAAUUAAAACCCCUGCAACAAGCUUAAAGUGCACCGUCUGCACCGAGAUGUUUAUGAAUUAAUUACGCUAUGUUUUAUACUCGUAGAUAAGUGCUGUUUCAGAUGAAAGGGGUCGGCAAGGUAACAAAGGGUUGACGUCAUGCAUCGCAUCCGCCCGCAUGACUUCCAACUCCGAAUCCCGCCCCUGUUUAUUUUCAGAGUCCGGCGUGAUUGGUCGAAUGCGCUGCUAGACGCGUCCUAGUCUAGCCGAGAGCCAAUGGGAGGGAAGCUUCCGUGUUGAUAUAUUUAAGAGUGGGCGGGGCUAGUUGGCGUAGAAACCGGAGCGAUAGACGCCACUGCUCAAUCUAGUGUAGGUGCCUCCGCGGCUGCCCGUGUUGAAUCGGCCACUUUCUGUCGCUGUCCAAGGAAUCUUUAACCAUGCAUUUCGGUCUUGUGGAUUGGUGCUAAAUGAUUGCGUCGAAUGUCAUCCAUAAAUAACUCGAUCCCAGGUGUGAGGAGUGUGUGGCCCAUGUUGCUCUAGGAGUGACUGUGUGUGUGUGCGUGUGUGUGUGUGUGUGUGUGAGUGAGUGAGUGAGAGAGUGUGUGAGUGAGUGAGUGUGAGUGAGUGUGAGUGAGUGUGAGUGUGUGUGUGUGUGUGUGUGUGUGUGUGUGUGUGUGUGUAUGAGAUGCUGGCCUGUCUCCCAGGGCCAGGUGAUCUCUCCCUUCAGCUCCACCCCCACUCGCAGAUGAACACUGGACUUCAAAAAUGGGACACUCCACAAAGGAUGAGAUCUGCUCAGUAUCCAACCCCUGCAGAAUUGGAUGCUUAUGCUAAAAAGGUUGCCAACAAUCCACUCACCAUCAAGAUCUUCCCCAACAGCGUCAAAGUCCCUCAGCGGAACCACGUUCGUCGCACAGUCAACGGACUCGAUACCGCUGGCCCCCGAUACAGUCCCUAUCCCUCCUCUCAGGCCAUUGCUAAGACUGGUCUCCUUGCCAUCGUUAAAGUGCCCCUCAUCAAGGGUGUCAUCAAGGACUUCGACGGCACACGGGCACGUCUGAUCCCGGAGGUGAUAAUGAAUGCCGCCGGUGGCCCUUAUUCAGCCACCUCAGCCAGCACUUUAAACCUGCACCACCCAUCACAGGGGCCUCCCAGAGCAUCCCUGAAUUCGCAGGGGCUUCCUCCGCACCCUCAGAAUCUCCAAACUUUGCAACAGCCUGGGCAUCCACAUCAAGGACUCAGACACCGACCUUCCUCCUCCAUGCCACAGCAACCCCAUGGCCUUCCGAGGCCCCAGACUCUGUCUCACGCCCCUGCUUUAGGCCACCCUGGAGCCCACCAACCUUCAGCAAUCCUGCUUCCUCAGCAGCACCUACAGAACCCCCCUGCAAGCCUCCAGGUGGGUCCUCGGAAGUUGCCACUUGCAGACGCCCCUCCUAACGUUACUGUUUCUACCUCAACCAUUCCAUUAUCCAUGGCCGGAGGGCUCCACCAGGGCUGUCAGACAGACUUAAACAGCAUAGUGCACCAGAUAAGCCAGUUCUGCCAGGCUAGGGCUCAGGGAGCCAGUGCCACGUCAAUGUGUGAAGGGCAGAUUGCCAACCCCAGUCCCAUUAGUCGAAAUCUACUUAUCAACGCCAGUUCUAGAGUCUCAGUGCAUGCGGGAAACCCUAAUGCGCUUGCUCCUGGCCUCAUGCGCCCAUCGUGUGCUAUUGGACCUCCUGAUAAAAUGACUGCUUCUGCUCCAGUGAGUGCGAUGCCUCCGCAUAACAUGGCCACGAUGAACCACAUGUAUCACAGCGAUAUAAAACAACAGCACCUACAGCAUCAAAGCCAUCAACCGCAGCGAAAUCACCAACAGCCGCAGAUGAGGUCCUGGACUCAGCAUCAGCUCGCUCAUCUUCAGCACAUCUCGGAAGGGGGCGGACACCCCUGCAAACCCCCGAAUCGUGACCCUGGCCUCCCUUGCAAGGGCAUUACCUAUCACCCAGAAAUGGGCAUGGGGCAGCCUUAUGCCAUGAAACCCUCCAGCCCCUCGUCGCCAAUUGCAAACAACAGCAACAAUGCAAUGCCCCAAGGAGCGGUGGCACACUACACCAAUGGGCAGUACUACCACCAGCCACCGUUGUGGGGUAGUAUUCUUCCCACACCCAACAGCGACAGCUCCGGCUCACAGGACAUCCCCGUGCCCUUCCAUGGCACUGGCACAGGCAAUACCAACUCCACCCCAGGGAUGGACUGUGCCCCCGUGGGGGGAGCGGCCCAUUACCGAUUAGUAGGGGGUGCCUUAAUUGGGCAGACUAAUCUGAUGCAAACGGCAGAUUGCAUGGGAGGGGACUUCCAGACGCCCUGCUUCCGAGAUCAGAAUCUCAUCCUGAUGGGGAAAAUGCACAGGCCACCCCAUAUGGGCCGGGUAGUGGUCCCCCACUCUGGGACGCAAGGCCAGCACCCAGGGUACAGAUAAGCUUCAGCCCACAAGCCUCAGACACAGCCUCUCCUCAGUGAAGUCAGCCACACACGUGUGCCCUCGACACCUCCUGUUAGUCUUAAUGAAAUUACAUCACGAGAGGAACUAAAUGAGCUCAGAAUCUCAAGGAAGAUUGUCGAUGAAACUAAGAAAAAAACAGGAAUACAAACAUGUCUAAUAAAGAGCAGUGUUUUGUGUUAUUAAUCUUGCAAGUGAUCAAUUUUUCUUCUUUUAACAAGUGCUUUUAUAAAGGCACUAAAGGGAUCUUUUUUUCCCGCUUCUGUCUUCUGUAUCUCCAGUUACCCAGAUCUCAAGUGCUCCAGGGUUAUUUAUGAAAGUCUUUUCUGUGUUAGUGCUUAUGUUAUUGAAAUAUAUAAAAAUAAUAUAAAUGUCUUAUGAAAUACAUCACUUCUAAACUGAGAGCACCAGGCCUUCUGUUCAUUGGACAGCCAACUUGCUUUCAUUUGACAGAUCUUUGUUAUGAGCUCGUCUUAUAACAUCAAGAUGGCUGACUGACUCGGAGCACUUCCCUCUUCAGCAUGACACGUUCUUUGUCCUUUCUUUCUUUUUUUUCCAGUGUCUGAGAUAUGUGGGAAUAUGCCAGUCACUGAACCUUUCAGACUGUUUCUAGGUGAAAGCUCUUGUCGUGGGUUUCCAAACGUGAAGAGCAUCAGAUGUUUUAACGUUAAAGCUGUGCCAUUUUUGUUUUACCUAAUCAUUAUACUCCCUUUAUUUGUUAACAUGUGAGAAACUACUACUUGAAUUGUAUAGAUGAGUCGUGCUGUUUCAGGUGGGUCGUAUGUGGUUUAGCUGUACGUGGGUUUGCAGGACUAAACAUACUACUGAAGGUGGUGUCUGUAGGCUUGUUACUAAUAUUAUGAUGUAGAAACUAUGUACCAAAUCAAGGGUUUAUGAUCCUGCGUUUUCUAAUUCAUCCUUUAUAAUAAUGUAAAGUAGGAGAUGCUACUGAUUCUUUUGUGAAGUGUGCUUGAAUUUACCAAAUUGACCACUUGCAAGAUCAUUUGUGGUUAAACGAAAAAGGACUUUUUAAAUGAAAAAGUCAAAAAGAUGAAACAGCAGGUGAAUUGCUUAUUUUAUUGUACACUGGCUUAUCUACUGUACUGCUGUAACUUUAAAGAAGUGUAAUAACUGUGUAUGAAUGUGGCUGCUGCAUAUGAAUAUGGUGUGCAUGUGAUGAGCGCAGGUGUGUGUGUUGGUGGGUCAGUUUGUCUUGACUCGCUGUUGGUUUGCCUCCCCUCAACAGCCCUCAUGAAGCCUUAAGUAUUUGGUCCUUGGACUUUCCUUUGACAACAAGCAUGAUUCUAAUAAAGCAAUUGCUGUGAAAUUGGAGGAAGCUUCUAGAAGCCUUUCUCAUAUCCGUCACUCUGUGGCUGUCAAUUGAAUCUGUGGGAAGAAUCUGAAGAGUGUGAGAGUUGUGCUACUCUUUUUUUUUUUUCUUCUUCUUUUUUUUUUAUAUUGUAAUAAUGAAAUAAAAUUCUAAUUUAUGCUUUCA